CACAGCUAAGGCAGAGCAGAGCUGAAUCAUUACCUUUCCCGCAUACUCUCAACUGUUGCCUGCGAAAGAGGACCUGGGGACUUAAGUGUUCAGACUGCUUGCAUUCAAGUGCUCCAGACGAUAUGCCAGAGAUGUUCCCGAACAAGUUGCCUGUCGGUGCAAGCUUCAAAAGGGAUACUUAAAUGGCCAACCCCAUUCAUCUCGUAAACCAAGAAAGGAAUAUAAAUCUAUUGAAGAAUCUUAAGAGUCAAAUCAUCUGAACCUGGACAGACUGCUGUCAGCAUCUCUGAGACCUCCUCCUUCUGAGAAUUACCAGGUCUGACAACACUUU